rnacentral:rRNA from 1 species
UACAGAGGUCCCAAGCGUUGUUCGGAUUCACUGGGCGUAAAGGGUGCGUAGGCGGUCGGGUAAGUCUGACGUGAAAUCUCCAAGCUCAACUUGGAAAUGGCGUCGGAUACUAUUCGGCUUGAGGAAUGGAGGGGAGACUGGAAUUCUCGGUGUAGCAGUGAAAUGCGUAGAUAUCGAGAGGAACACCAGUGGCGAAGGCGAGUCUCUGGACAUUUCCUGACGCUGAGGAGCGAAAGUGUGGGGAGCGAACAGG